rnacentral:rRNA from 1 species
UACGUAGGGUGCAAGCGUUGUCCGGAAUUAUUGGGCGUAAAGAGCAUGUAGGCGGCCCGAUUAGUCCGCUGUGAAAGUCCAGGGCUCAACCCUGGAAUGCCGGUGGAUACUGUCGGGCUAGAGUCCGGAAGGGGCGAGUGGAAUUCCUGGUGUAGCGGUGAAAUGCGCAGAUAUCAGGAGGAACACCAAUGGCGAAGGCAGCUCGCUGGGACGUGACUGACGCUGAGACGCGAAAGCGUGGGGAACAAACAGG